CCUACGGGAGGCAGCAGUGGGGAAUAUUGCACAAUGGGCGAAAGCCUGAUGCAGCAACGCCGCGUGUGUGAAGAAGGCCUGCGGGUUGUAAAGCACUUUCGGUAGGAAAGAAAAGACCGUCGCUAAUACCGGCGGUUCUUGACGUUACCUACAGAAGAAGCACCGGCUAAUUCCGUGCCAGCAGCCGCGGUAAUACGGAAGGUGCGAGCGUUAAUCGGAAUUACUGGGCGUAAAGCGCGCGUAGGUGGUUCGGUAAGUCGGGUGUGAAAGCCCUGGGCUCAACCUGGGAACUGCAUUCGAUACUGCCGAGCUAGAGUAUGGUAGAGGGGGGUGGAAUUCCCGGUGUAGCGGUGAAAUGCGUAGAGAUUUGGAGGAACACCAGUGGCGAAGGCGACUUUCUGGUCUGUAACUGACACUGAGGCGCGAAAGCGUGGGGAGCAAACAGGAUUAGAUACCCUGGUAGUCCACGCCGUAAACGAUGAGUGCUAAGUGUUAGAGGGUUUCCGCCCUUUAGUGCUGCAGCUAACGCAUUAAGCACUCCGCCUGGGGAGUACGGCCGCAAGGCUGAAACUCAAAGGAAUUGACGG
rnacentral:rRNA from 1 species